UUGUAUUUGGGUGUUAUCUUGGCUCAGGAUUAACGCUAAUUAGACGCAUUACACAUGCAAAUGGAAUAUUAUAAGUAUUAUAAUAUCGUGUCCAGGUGAGUAAUAUAAUAUGAACUACCCUAUGUUCUUUUUAGAUAAAAGGAUGCAAAGAAUUAUGUGUAUUUAUAAUAAUAUGUUUAUAGUGAUAUUUAUAUAUCGAUGUAGGAGGUUCUAUUACAAGUUAGGCUAAAAGGUUGUUUUUUGUGCACAUCAAUAUGAUAGUAGCAGCUUUAUACUUUAGUUGAUUUGAGAGAAUUAUCAACCACAUAUGGGUAUGAAAAUAACCCUAUCUAUCCGACAGCAGUGAGGAAUUUUGGACAAUGUACUGACGUAUGAUCCGGCGAACUAAUGGAGAUGAAGAAGACAUUGAUUGUAAAGUCUGUUCGUGCUCUUUAAUGAUGGUGAAGAGUGAGGAGAAGCCAUGGCUAAUACAUGUGCCAGCAGCUGCGGUAAUACAUGAGUGGCUAGCGUUAUUCAUCAUGACUGCGUGUACAACGUAUAUAGAGUUUGGACUUAUUAUUAAAUUUCUAUUUAGAAAAAUUUGACAAGUUCAUAUAGAUAUUUGAUGGGUGUUAUUAGUCCAUAUAAACUAGUGGUUAAAUACCGAAAGUUAUUAGAUACUAUCACUUUGAAAAGGUUUAACAACAUCAUUUAAUUUUUACAUAUACGAAAGUAUGAUGAUCGAUGAGGAUUUGG
rnacentral:rRNA from 1 species